UUGAUCCUGGCUCAGAUUGAACGCUGGCGGCAGGCUUAACACAUGCAAGUCGAGCGGAGAGAGGUAGCUUGCUACUGAUCUUAGCGGCGGACGGGUGAGUAAUACUUAGGAAUCUGGCUAUUAGUGGGGGACAACAUUUCGAAAGGGAUGCUAUACCGCAUACGUCCUACGGGAGAAAGCAGGGGAUCUUCGGACCUUGCGCUAAUAGAUGAGCCUAAGUCGGAUUAGCUAGUUGGUGGGGUAAAGGCCUACCAAGGCGACGAUCUGUAGCGGGUCUGAGAGGAUGAUCCGCCACACUGGGACUGAGACACGGCCCAGACUCCUACGGGAGGCAGCAGUGGGGAAUAUUGGACAAUGGGGGGAACCCUGAUCCAGCCAUGCCGCGUGUGUGAAGAAGGCCUUAUGGUUGUAAAGCACUUUAAGCGAGGAGGAGGGUACUGGUAUUAAUACUACCAGGUACUGGACGUUACUCGCAGAAUAAGCACCGGCUAACUCUGUGCCAGCAGCCGCGGUAAUACAGAGGGUGCGAGCGUUAAUCGGAUUUACUGGGCGUAAAGCGUGCGUAGGCGGCUAAUUGAGUCGGAUGUGAAAUCC
rnacentral:rRNA from 1 species